CCGGGUUCAAACCGAUUAUCCUGCCUCAGCCUCUCCAGAGUAGCUGGGAUUACAGGUGCACGCUACUGCACCCGGCUAAUUUUUUGUAUUUUUAGUAGAGACGGGGUUUCACCAUGUUGGCCAGGCUGGUCUUGAACCCCCAAUCUCAGGUAAUCCGCCUGCCUUGGCCUCCCAAAGUGCUAAGAUUACAGGCGUGAGCCACCAUGCCUGGCCUGGACCUCUUAAUUUUAUGAUAAUCUGAGUUCCCGAAAGAGUAAUUGAUAGAAAAAAAAACUACACCUGAGGACACAACUUUCUGAGUUCAAAUUUCUUUUUUUUUGAGACAGCAUUUCACUCUGUUGUCCAAGCUGGAGUGCGGUGUCACAAUUUCGGCUCACUGCAACCCCCGCCUCCUGGGUUCAAGCGAUUCUCCUGCCUCAGCCUCCCAGGUAGCUGGGACUACAAGCGCAUCACCAAACCUAAUUAUUAUUAUUUUUUAUUUUUUAGGAUAGACAGGGUUUCACCAUGUUGGUCAGGCUGAUCUUGAAUUCCUGACCUCAGGUGAUCCACCUGCCUCGGCUGCCCAAAGUGCUGGGAUUACAGGUGUGAGCCACCACACACAGCCAGGUUCAAAUUUCUUUCUUUUUUUUUUUUGAGACAGAGUCUCGCUCUGUUGCCCAGGCUGGAGUCCAGUGACGCAAUCUUGGCUCGCUGCACGCUCUGCCUCCUGGGUUCACGCCAUUCUCCUGCCUCAGCCUCCCAAGUAGCUGGGACUACAGGCGCCCGCCACCACGCCCAGCUAUUUUUUUGUAUUUUUAGUAGAGACGGGGUUUCACUAUGUUAGCCAGGAUGGUCUCGAUCUCCUGAUCUCGUGAUCCGCCCGCCUCAGCCUCCCAAAGUGCUGGGAUUACAGGCGUCAGCCACCGCGCCCAGCCCAAGUUUCUUAUUCUUUUUGUUUAUAGACUGGGUCUCACUCUGUUGCCCAGCCUGGUCUUGAACUCCUGGGCUUAAGUGAUUCGCCUCGGCCUCCCAAAGUGCUGGGAUUACAUGCUUGAGCCACCACACCUAGCCCCGGAUUCAAAUUUCAGUGUAACAUCCCCAAUCCACUGUUAUACAAGCAAUGAACAAGUUAUUUAACCCCUCUGAGCCAGUUUCCUCCUCUUAAAAAAGGCACAAAACUUAAUAGAAAGCAACUAAGAAGCCAGGCACGGUGGCUCAAGCUGGUAAUCCCAGCACUUUCCGAGGCCGAGGAGAGUGGAUCACCUGAGGUCAGGAGUUCGAGACCAGCCUGACCAAAAUGGUGAAACCCCGUCUCUAUUAAAAAUGCAAAAAUUAGCUGGGCGUGGUGACGGGUGCUUGUAAUCCCAGCUACUCAGGUGGCUGAGGCAGGAGAAUUGCUUGAACCCAGGAGGCGGAGGUUGCGGUUUGCCAAAAUCGCUCCACUGCACUCCCGCCUGGGCGACAAGAGCAAGGAAGGCUCUGUCUUAAAAAAAUAAAUAAAUGAAAAUACAAAAAUUAGCCAGGCGUCGUGGCACAUGCCUGUAAUCCCAGCUACUUGGGAGGCUGAGGCAGGAGAAUCGCUUGAACCUGGGAGGCGGAGGUUGCAGUGAGCCGAGAUUGUGCCACUGCACUCCAGUCGGGGUGAAAAAGCAAGACUCCGUCUCAAAAAAAAAAAAAAAAAAAAAAAAAGAGGCCGGGCACGGUGGUACACGCCUGUGGUACAGCACUUUGGGAGGCUGAGGCAGGUGGAUCAUGAGGUCAGGAGAUCGAGACCAUCCUGGCUAACACGGUGAAACCCCGUCUCCACUAAAAAAUACAAAAAAAUUAGCCGGGCCUGGUGGCGGGCGCCUGUAGUCCCAGCUAUUCAGGAGGCAGAGGCAAGAGAAUGGCGUGAACCCGGGAGGCGGAGCUUGCAGUGAGCCGAGAUGGCGCCACUGGACUGCAGCCUGGGCGACAGAGCGAGAGAGUGAGACUCUGUCUCAAAAAGAAAAACGGAAGCAACUAAGAAAUGUCAAGAGUGCCAUUUUGGAAUCAGAGAAGUCAUGCUGACUGAGGCACAGGCUUGGCGUGGGAAAAGUGGACUCCAAUCUGUUAACUUCUGAAGUUGUCCACGGCAAAUAUUUCUCUGACGGCACAGGAAGAGAUCUGAACUUGGCUUCCCUCAUCCAUUGAACAAGUAUUAACAAGUAUCUAUAUAUGCCUACCGUGCCAGGCCUUAUUCUAACCACUGGGGCUGCAAUAUUUAAAAAGACAAAGUUGGAUCCUCCAAGGACUGUGGUGGGGAAGGCUGACAAAACAAGUAACAAAAAUGUGUAACAUUAAAAAAAAAGUGUAAUGUUAAAAAAAAAAAGUGUAAUAAAGUUACAAAGCCUAGCCCCAGCUCGGCUUGUUUCCCUAGCUGAAAUGGGGGAUGGCCGGGCGCGGUGGCUCACGCCUGUAAUCCCAGCACUUUGGGAGGCCCGAGGCGGGAAGAUAGCUUGUGCCCAGGAGUUCGAGGUCACAGUGACCUAUGAUAGCCCCACCGACUCCAGCCUGAGCGAUAGAGCGAGACCCUGUCUCUAAUUUAGAAAAAAGAAAGUUGUG
rnacentral:lncRNA from 10 species